AGAGAGAUGGCUCAGUGGUUAAGAGUACUGGUUGCUUUUCCAGAGGACUCGGGUUCAAUUCCCAUCACCCUA
rfam:Neotoma lepida isolate 417 scaffold_148, whole genome shotgun sequence.